rnacentral:rRNA from 1 species
CAGACGGGUGAGUACACGUGGGAACCUUCCUCGGGGUACGGAACAACUCAGGGAAACUUGAGCUAAUACCGUAUACGUCCGUGAGGAGAAAGAUUUAUCGCCCUGAGACGGGCCCGCGUCGGAUUAGCUAGUUGGUGGGGUAACGGCCUACCAAGGCGACGAUCCGUAGCUGAUCUUAGAGGAUGAUCAGCCACACUGGGACUGAGACACGGCCCAGACUCCUACGGGAGGCAGCAGUGGGGAAUCUUGGACAAUGGGGGCAACCCUGAUCCAGCCAUGCCGCGUGAGUGAAGAAGGUCUUCGGAUUGUAAAGCUCUUUUACCAGGGACGAUAAUGACGGUACCUGGAGAAUAAGCCCCGGCAAACUUCGUGCCAGCAGCCGCGGUAAUACGAAGGGGGCUAGCGUUGUUCGGAAUUACUGGGCGUAAAGCGCACGUAGGCGGACUAUUAAGUCAGGGGUGAUAUCUCGGAGCUCAACUCCGGAACUGCCUUUGAUACUGGUAGCCUAGAG